UUAAGCGCGGGAAGAAACAAGAUGUCUUCAUUCUGAGCCAUAUCUCGCCAGGUAUCUUUUUCUGCUGUAUAUUAACUAUAUUGUCCAGUAUGUCAUCCAUUGAGAAAUUAAAGAUUCAAGGCAUUAGGAGCUACUCCCAGAAUGAACCUGCUGCUAUAGAAUUCUUUAAACCNUUAACAUUGAUUGUUGGUUCCAAUGGAGCAGGAAAGACUUCCAUCAUUGAAUGCCUGAAAUAUGUGACAACAGGUGAUUUGCCGCCAGGAAGCAAGAACUCCUACUUUGUCCAUGAUCCAAAGGUUGCAGGGGAGCAAGAGAUUAAAGGGCAAGUAAAGCUGAUGUUUAAAGACAUCACUGGUAAAACUGUUGUAGUUACAAGAGCUUUGAUAUCUCAACAAAAGGGUAAAAAACUUGAAACCAGAAGUCUAGAGAGUGUCAUCAAAAAAGAUAUACAUGGAGAGAGACGAAGCUUGAGUUCCAAAUGUGCUGAAGUGAAUCAUGAAAUGAUUUCUAUGCUUGGAGUCUCUAAAGCUGUGCUGGAGAAUGUUAUAUUCUGUCACCAAGAAGAUUCUAAUUGGCCUCUUAGUGAAGGAAAAGCCUUGAAGCAAAAGUUUGAUGAAAUCUUUGCUGCAACAAGAUACAUUAAAGCCCUUGAAGCCAUACGCAAGCUGAGACUUGAACAAGGUAGAANUGUAACCAAGUGUGAAACAGAACUAAAAUACCUGAAGGAAAACAAAGAUAAGGCACAAGAGAUUGCUGAGCAGUUGGAAAAAUCUCAAGGGAAAAUAGAAGCCACUAGAGAUUCUAUUNUUAAGAUAUCAAGAAACUUAGAGCCGGUGGAGAUAAGAUUGACAGAGAUUGAACAAAUUGCAGUGGAAGUUAGUCAGCUGCAAAAAGAAAAAGAGCUGUUGAUGGCAAAGAAGGAACAGUUGGCAGAUAUGGAGCAAGAUCUUUUACAAAACAUUACAGAUGUCUUUACAGGUUCUACAGAAGAGCUACAAGGGAUUUACCAGGAUUUUCAGAACAAAAUCAAAGAAAAGAAUGAGCUUCUAAAACAGAAAGAGAAUGAGCAUCAACAUCUUGUUGCUAAGCAGCAAGAGUUAUCCAAUCAAAAGAGUUCCAUAUUGCAAGAGCAGGGAAAACUGGAGCAACAAGCACAAAGACACCAAACUAACCUAGGGGACAGAGAUCNCAUGGUUUCGACACUUGCAAAUUAUUAUGAAAUUCAAGGUUACAGCAAGACACCUUUUACAGAAGCACAAGUGGACAGAUUUAUUGAAGAUNUUAAAAAGAAUUAUGCAAAUAUUGUGGAAGAAACUAAACAACAAAAGGAGUUGUUUAAGAACAAGAUAGAAGUGGUCCAGAAAAAGAUUGAUGACAUCAAGAGAAGUCAAGCUGAGUAUGGUGAGACAAUCAGGUUGAAGAAAANGUUGAUGGGAGACAAUCAAAGAGAACUGAAAGCCAUUGGUCAGGAACUUAGUAAUGUGAAUGCAUCUGCCAACAGACUGAAAUCACUUGAUGCUGAAUUGCAGCNUGCGAUGAAAGAACUUGAAGAAGCUAAUGAGCUUGGAAAUGUUGAUGAAAUGAAUGCAGAAAUAGAAAAACUUCAGAAUGACAAGCGUCAAGUUGAUGGAGAACUGAGCAGGUUGAGAGAAGAGCAACAGACCAUGCAUUUCCACUCUACCACAAAAACAAAACUGGACAUGCUCAUUAAAGAAAAGAUUGAAAAAGAAGAUAAUAUACAAAAACUAAUGAACAAGCAUGAUGAAGACAUCAAAACUAUAAUUGGUGGUACAGGAACGAGUGAAAGUCUUAGUGACAAGCUGGGUCAGUACCUACGAAACAAGGGCAAGGAGCUACAAGACACCAGAAACAGAAUGCAAAGAAUAAAACAAGCUCAGUCUGCUAAAGAAGCCAACAAAAAGAACAUUGAAGACCAGCUGAAAAGAAAGGUUGACCAAGCUGCAACAUAUAAACAACAGCUGAAGGAUGCUUGUGGGGAAAAUGACUACAACACGAUGAAAGAACAGCUGAGUGAACAGAUAUCGUNUUUGAGAAACGAAAAGGGUCUGUUUUCUUCAAUCGAGAAAAUCUACAAGAAGUACAUCAAAAAGCUUCAAGAAGAAAGUGUGAAAGAAGAAGGAUGUCCUCUAUGUCAUCGCUGCUUUGACUCCAGUAAACAGAUCAAAAGUCUCAUAGCUGAGCUUAAUGAGAAAGUGGUACAUCUUCCUGCCAAAAGAGAGGAGAAUGACAUCCUUUUGGAUCAAGAAGAAAGACGCUACGAAAAGAUCUUAAAACUGGGCCCAAUUAAAGAAAAUCUUGAAAAGAUCGAGACAUCAGAAAUACAAGAAGCCAAGUCGAGACUUGCUGACAUCUCCAAAGACUUGGAGAAAAUGGAAGCACAGAUCAUGGAACUGGAGGAUGUCUACAGCUUGACUGAGAGUGAGGAAAUGACUGCAAGACAAAUGGAACCUGAUCUACGUGAAGUAGAAAACUAUAAAAGAAGCUUGAAAGAUCUUGACAAGAACAUCUCUCUCUAUCAAUCNCAGCUGCAAGGGAUAGCUCCUGGCCGCACCAUGCAAGCAGUAACAAAUGAAAUCACGGACAGACAGGAUCGAUCAGAGACCCUAGACCGUCAUAUUGACCGCCGCAGACGCGCACUAACCCAGCUUCAAAGACAGCUUACCACACUUACGUCCAACGUUCACGAUCUCAAGUCAAAAAAGCUAAAACUAAAUGAACAACUGCAGCGACGAACUCACCUGGAAGAACAAAAGGCAGAAUUGACCNCCAAGAACGACGCGUUCGCACGAGAAAUUAAGGAUGCAGAGGCCCAGUCACAACCCAUUCAGGUGAUGCUUGACGAGGAAGAGAGGAAGAAACACAAUAUUGUUGUGGCUAAAGAAGCGAUGGAGGAAGAGAAGCGCAUACUGCUGACUGAUAUGAAGAAUAAUGGAGAAAGACUAAGUGAAAAGAUAUCAGAGAUAAAAAGAUACACAAGUCAAGGAGGUGAAUCAGCCUUGCAGGACAACCAGGAAAGACUCAAGGCUGUUGAAGACAGAGAAAAACAGAUCCACCGAAAGAAACUGGGAAUAACCGAGAUUAUCGACUCGUUCAAGGAAGACAUCUCUAAACAGGAAAUAAAAUCGCGCGACAUAGAAGACAAUUUGAAACUCAAAAGCACUCAGAAGGAUAUUCAAAACAUNGAAAAUAAGAUCGAAAGUGUGGAAGGAAAGCUUGAUCAAUAUNGUGAUCCACGAAGUCUGAACAGCGAAAGAUCGAGACUACAUCGACAACUAGAUGACUUGCACAAAGAGAAAUCUCAUCUUGAAGGAAGACAAAAAGGCUUCGAGGAUGAGAUACGAAGAUACCAGACUGAAUUACGAAGCAACAUGUAUAACAACGCGGAAGAAAAACACAGACAGAAGAUCAUUGAAAUGAAGACUACUCAAAUGGCUAGCGUGGAUCUGGACAAAUAUUACAAGGCUCUUGACAGAGCGAUAAUGAAGUAUCAUAGCUUGAAAAUGGCUGAGAUCAAUAAGAUUAUUAAGGAAUAUUGGAUCAACACCUACAAGGGUGGUGAUAUUGANACUAUUGAGAUUCGUUCAGAUGAAGAAGAAGGUAGCGGUGCAUCUAAAGCAAGGCGAACAUACAACUAUAGGGUCGUGAUGAUCAAAGGAGACAUCGCAUUGGACAUGAGGGGACGAUGCAGUGCAGGACAAAAGGUGCUUGCAUCCCUGAUCAUCAGACUAGCAUUAGCAGAGACAUUCUGCUUGAACUGUGGUAUAUUUACCUUAGACGAGCCAACCACCAACCUUGAUGAGAGUAACGUCUACAGUCUUGCUGAUCAGCUUGCUACCGUGAUACGCACUCGACAGNCUCAGCGUAAUUUCCAGCUGGUCGUCAUCACUCAUGACGAGGAAUUCGUCGACACUCUUGGCCGAGCAGAUUUUGUUGACUAUUACUACAAAAUCUACAAAAAUGACAGCGGGUUUUCUAAGAUCGCUAAGCAGAGUGUGGCAUCCUUACAGAGAGAGGCGUCUUACGUUGAAUGAAUCGGUAUUUCAUGGAUACAAAUAGAUGUACAUUAAGUGGCCAUCUUGGUCAAAUUAUCACUGUCACGUGGCUAUCANGUUAAACACACAUGCUGUCCUACCCGACAGUUCUUAGAAUAGUGUUGCAAGAUGUCGUUGAUUCUUGGUUGUUGACUUAUUAUACCAGUCAGUAUGGCUGGGUUGUACUGUUGUCGUUAUAUCCAGGAUAAGUAGCGCUAAAUACACACCUACCUCAUGAUCAGUCGCGAAAAUAACUUGUGCAGUUUUGUUAGCUUUAAUAAAAUAAAUUACUGGUCGUCAGUUCAAACUGAAAUCCUUGUCAUCUUAUUGUUACAUCUUUGGAAUAAACGCUUUCUUGGUUGAACGUAAA
rnacentral:misc_RNA from 1 species